rnacentral:rRNA from 1 species
UGGCCAGUACAGAGGGCUGCGAAGCCGUAAGGUGGAGCGAAUCCCUUAAAGCUGGUCUCAGUUCGGAUUGGGGUCUGCAACUCGACCCCAUGAAGUCGGAGUCGCUAGUAAUCGCAGAUCAGCAACGCUGCGGUGAAUACGUUCCCGGGCCUUGUACACACCGCCCGUCACGUCAUGAAAGUCGGUAACACCCGAAGCCAGUGGCCUAACCUUUUGGAGGGAGCUGUCGAAGGUGGGAUCGGCGAUUGGGACGAAGUCGAAACAAGGUAGCCGUACCGGAAGGUGCG